rfam:Camelus ferus unplaced genomic scaffold scaffold316, whole genome shotgun sequence.
UUUUCAGCUUUAGAGCAAAAUCAGAAACUGUCACAAAAACUUAAGAAUUUCUGUAAUGGGUCAUAUGAGUUUAUGAACACAUAAAAGGACAAUUUUGUGAUUGUCAGCUUUGAGUUGAGGAUAUAUCACAGACAUCUUGAUUGUCAGCUUUGAGUUGAGGAUAUAUCACAAGUUACAAUAAGUAAGUUGCCCUUACUUAUUUUUGCAGACAUUUCUCUCAGCCAUUAAUGAAGCAAU